rnacentral:rRNA from 1 species
GAGUUUGAUCGUGGCUCAGAGUGAACGCUGGCGGUAGGCCUAACACAUGCAAGUCGAACGGUAACAGGUCUUUCGGGAUGCUGACGAGUGGCGGACGGGUGAGGAAUACAUCGGAAUCUGCUCAGUCGUGGGGGAUAACGCAUGGAAACGUGCGCUAAUACCGCAUACGACCUUCGGGUGAAAGCAGGGGAAUCUUUAGGGAUCCUUGCGCGAUUGAAUGAGCCGAUGUCGGAUUAGCUAGUUGGUAGGGUAAAAGCCUACCAAGGCGACGAUCCGUAGCUGGUCUGAGAGGAUGAUCAGCCACACUGGGACUGAGACACGGCCCAGACUCCUGCGGGAGGCAGCAGUGGGGAAUAUUGGACAAUGGGGGCAACCCUGAUCCAGCCAUACCGCGUGGGUGAAGAAGGCCUUCUGGGUUGUAAAGCCCUUUUGUUGGGGAAGAAAAACAACGGGUUAAUACCCCGUUGGUAUGACGGUACCCAAAGAAUAAGCACCGGCUAACUUCGUGCCAGCAGCCGCGGUAAUACGAAGGGUGCAAGCGUUACUCGGAAUUACUGGGCGUAAAGGGUGCGUAGGUGGUUGCGCCAGUCUGUCGUGAAAGCCCUGGGCUUAACCUGGGAAUGGCGAUGGAAACUGUGCAACUAGAGUGUGACAGAGGGUGGUGGAAUUCCUGGUGUAGCAGUGAAAUGCGUAGAGAUCAGGAGGAACAUUCGUGGCGAAGGCGGCCACCUGGGUCAACACUGACACUGAGGCACGAAAGCGUGGGGAGCAAACAGGAUUAGAUACCCUGGUAGUCCACGCCCUAAACGAUGCGAACUGGAUGUUGGGUCCAACUUGGGAUUCAGUAUCGAAGCUAACGCGUUAAGUUCGCCGCCUGGGGAGUACGGUCGCAAGACUGAAACUCAAAGGAAUUGACGGGGGCCCGCACAAGCGGUGGAGUAUGUGGUUUAAUUCGA